UCCUACCUUUUCAUAUAUAUAAACGUCUCACUUGUUUUUUUUUUUGGUCUUUGUUGUAAUAGGGAUCGCUGGAAGCAUCUAACUACUCCACCAUCUUGGCCCCGCCUUACCCCAGAGCAACCUUAGAAAUUGUUUAGAGAUGGCAAGACUGUUGUCAGCCUGGGUACCUGGAUCACUGCAUUGAGAAAGCCCACCACAGUGACGGGUCUGUCACCUGUCCGUUGGUGAUUGAUCGAUCGUGGUCCAGCAUGCAGAAGUGAGUGUGUGGUGAAAAGCAGCAGAGCUGAUGAGUUGUGAAGACGUGUGUUUGAAGGCUGCCACACUCCCUACUCCAGGGAUCAGGAAUUAACUUGCAACAACCCUCGAUGAAGAUUCUGUAGCAGUGGUAAAGACAUCUGCUCCCUCCACGAUGUAAAGAGAUCCUGAGAGAUUCUGAAAGAUGGCUGAGAGCCUAAAAUUAAAAUCCUGGAUCCUUGAGUCAUGUCCUGCCGUAGGCCACUCGCUGUUGUGCUCAGCUAUUGUUCUGUCAGAGACUUCCAUGAACACUAGGAGUUGAAAAGAAAAAGAAAAAAAAUGAAAGAAAACAGGAAAAAGAAGCAAAGGCAGCAGCUGUGAUGUAUGACCUGCCCAUGGAGAGACUCAUGUGACAAAGACCUGAGGGAGGGUCCUGAUCAACAGACAGACAGGAGUGAGGCCCCCCAGUCCAAAAGCUCAUGGAGUCCUGCUGAUAACACGGAAGUGAGUAGGGAGCAGGUCGUCCGCAGUCAAGACUCAGUUGAGACCACAACCACAGGCUCCUGAGAACUUGGAGAAGUCACCCGAUUGUGAGUUCCAGUGGACAGGGACCACAUGGGUCAUUUUCAGAACCAGCUCCUGGAUGACCUGCUGAUGUUGAUCCUGCUCCUGCACUAACACUGGAGCUCCACAGUGCACCAACUAUACCGUCACCAGCUCCAUCACCAGCGUCAGAUGGCAGUCAGCUGGAGGCAUAGAGUUCAAUCGUAGCCACCUCCUGAAUGGCUCGCAGAUCACCUGCUGAUGUCGAUCCGGCUCCUGCUCAACAUAAGAGCUCUAUAGAACACCAGGUCCUCCAUCUCCAGCUCUGCCUCGGUCACCAGAGGUUGAGCCAUUUGCUGCAAGUCCUCCACGGCCACCCCUCAUUCACAGCUAGGGGACGUCAGCUCCAGAAACACACCCUUUCUUCAACUUACCUGAGCGGGAAUUUCUUUGGUUUUGUGGUAAUAUUUUCCCAGAUCACUUUAUACUUCAUAGUUUAUGCUAUUUAAACUGGUUGAUUUCUCAUAAAAUUUGUUUUAAUAAUUUUUAAGUGUGUAGUAUACUGGCUUUAUAUACUUUUACAGUCUUAUUCAACCAUCAUCAGUACCUACUUCAGAACAUUUUCAACACCACUGUGAUAGUUAAUGUUAUGUGUCAGUUUAGUUAGGCCAUGAUUCUCAGGGGUUUCGCAGAAAUUAUGUAAUCAGCCUCCAUUUUGUGAUCCGAUGUGAGCAGCCAAUCCGUUGAAAGAGGAGUUUCCUUGGAGGAGUGAACUGCAAAUUAACACAUCUCCUGGUACCUGGUAUGCAGCCGUUGAUCUGGCCAAUGCCUUUUUCUUCAUCCUUCUUCUGAAGGACAGGCCCUUUUGGCGAAUCACUGCACAGAUCUGCAGGAUUUUGGAGCAAAGCCGUACCAUUCUCUGCAGUUGGUGAUUGAUUGAUCGUGGUCCAGCAUGCAGAAGUGAGUGAGUGGUGAAAAGCAGCAGAGCUGAUGGAUUGUGAAGAUGUGUUUGAAGGCUGUCACACUCCCUACUUCAGGGUUGUGCUCAGCUAUUGUUCUGACAGAGUCUUCCAUGAACACUAGGAGUUGAAAAGAAAAAGAAAAAAAAUGAAAGAAAACAGGAAAAAGAAGCAAAGAGAAGAUUGUGAGCUCCUGGGGACAGGGACCACAUGGGUCAUUUCAGAACCAGCUCCCGUACCACCUGCUGAUGUUGAUCCUGCUCCUGCACUAACACUGGAGCUCCAUAGUGCACCAACUAUUCCGUCACCAGCUCCAUCACCAGCAUCAGAUGGAUAGGUAGCUGGAGGCGUAGAGUUCAAUCGUAGCCACCUCCAGAAAUGGCUCCCACACCAUCUGCUGAUGUUGGUCUUGCUCCUGCUCAACACCAAAGCUCUACAGAGCACCAAGUCUUCCAUCUCCAGCUCUGCCUCGGUCACUACAGGUUGAGCCAUUUGCUACACCUCCUCUACAGCCACUCCUCGUUCAUGGGUAGGGAACGUCAGCUCCAGAACCACACCCUUUCUUCAAUUCACCGGAGUGGGAUUUUUUUUUGGUUUUGUGGUAGUAUUUUUCCAAAUCACUAUAUGCUAUUUUAACAGGUAGAUUUCUCAUAAAAUCAAAAUUGUUUUAAUAAUUUUAACAUGUGUAGUAUAGUGGCUUCAGGUACUUUUACAGUCUUAUUCAAUCAUCAUCAGUAUCUACUUCAGAACAUUUUCAUCACGACUGUGAUGGUUAAUGUUACAUGUCAGUUUGGUUAGGCCACGAUUCUCAGGGGUUUGGCAGAAAUUAUGUAAUCAGCCUCCAUUUUGUGAUCUGAUGUGAGCAGCCAAUCAGUUGGAAGAGGAGUUUCCUUGGAGGAGUGAACUGCAAAUUAACACAUCUCCUGGUACCUGGUAUCCAGCCAUUAAUCUGGCCAAUGCCUUUUUCUUCAUCCUCAUUUUGAAGAACAGGCCCCUCUCGGUGAAUCACAGCGCUGAUCUGUAGGAUUUUGGAGCAAAGCCCUGCCAUCCUCUGCAGAUAACUACUCUCCUUUUGAGAAACAGCUUUUGGCUUGAUACUGGGCCUUCGUAGAGACUGAACGCUUAACCAUGGGCCACCGACUCACCAUGUGGCCUGAGCUUCCCAUUAUGAACUGGAUGUUGUUUGACCCACAGAAUUAUAAAGUUGGACCUGCCCAGCAGCACUCCAUCAUUAAUUGAAGCAGUAUAUACAAGAUCGGGCCUGAGCAGGAUGUGAGGGUCCAAGUAAGUUGCAUGGGGAAAUGCCCCAAUGCCCAUGGUCUCCACUCAUGUCACAUACCUUUCAUCUCCCAGGCUGCACCUGUGGCCUCAUGGGGAGCUCUUUAUGAUCAGGUGACUGAAGAUGAGAAAACUCGUACCUUGUUUACAGAUGGCUGUAUGCAAUAUGCAGGCACCACUUGAAAAUGGAGAGCGGCAGCACUACAGCCCCUUGCUGGGACCUCCCUGAAGGACAGUGGUGAAGGGAAAUCCACCCAAUGGGCAGAAGUUCAAGUAGUGCACCUGGGUGUUCACUUUGCCUGGAAGAAGAAAUGGCCAGAAGUACGAUUGUAUGUAUACUGAUUCAUGGGCUGUGGCCAGUGGUUUAGCUGGAUUGUCAAGGACUUGUAAGGAACAUGAUCGGGAAGCUGGAGACAAGGGUUUAUGGGGAAGAAAUAUGUGAAUAUACCUCUUUGAAUGGGCCAAAGAAGUGAAGAUAUUUGUAUCUUAUGUGAAUGCUCACUAAAGAGUGACCUAAGCAGAUGAAGAUUUUAACAAUCAAGUGAAUAGGAUGACGUGUUCUUUGGAAACCGCUCAUCCUCCUUUCCCAGGUACUCCCAUCAUUACUCAUGAACAAAGUGGCCAUGAUAGCAGGGAUGGAGGUUAUGCCUGGGCCCAGCAACAUGGACUUCUACUCAUCAAGGCCGACUUGUUGACAACCACUGCUAAGUGCCCAGUAUGCCAGCAGUAGAAACCAAAAUUGAGUCCCUGAUAUGGCCCUACCCCUCAAAGUGAUCAUCCAGCAACCUGGUCGCAAGUUCAUGACGUUGGACCACUUCCAUCAUGGAAAGGGCAGCGUUUGGUUCUUACAGGAAUAAACACUUACUCUGAAUAUGGAUUUGCCUUCCCUGCAUGCAAUGCUUCUGCCAAAACUACCACCCAUGCACUUACAGAAUGCCUUAUCCACCAUCAUGGUAUCCUACAUGCAUUUCCUUGAAUCAAGGGACUCACUUCACAGCAAAUGAAAUGCAGCAGUGGGCCCAUGCUCAUGAAAUUCACUGGUUUUACCAUGUUCCCCAUCAUCCUGAAGCAGCUGGUUUGUUAGAAUGAUGGAAUGGACUCCUAAAGACACAAUUACGGUGCCAGCUAGGUGGCAAUGCCUUGCAAGGUUGGUGCAGUAUUCACCUAGAGGCUGUAUAUGCUCUAAACCAGUGUCCAAUAUAUGGUAUUGUAUCUCCCAUAGCCAGGAUUCAUGGGUCCAGGAAUGAAUGGGUGAGAAUAGGAGUGGCACUACUCACUAUUACCCCUAGUGACCUCCUUACAAGAUUUUUUGCUUCGUGUCCCCACAGCCUUAUGCUCUGCAGAUCUAGAGGUCUUAGUUCCAAAGGGAGAAGUGCUGCCACCUGGAGAUGCAUCACUGAUUCCAUUGAACUGGAAGCUAAGAAUGCUACCUUCCACUUUGGGCUCCUUAUGCCACUGGAUCAACAGGCAAAGAAGGGAGUUACUGUACUGGCUAGUGUGAUUGAUCCUGAUUAUCAGGAGGAAAUCGGAUUGAUAUUACAUAAUGGAGGUAAAGAAGAGUACAUCUGGAAUUCAGAAGAUCCCUUAGGGCAUCUCUUGGUACUACCAUGCCUUGUGAUUCAAGUCAAUGGAAUAGAGGCAGGGCCAAGAUGGCAGAGUAGUCAGAUGCUUCUCGUGGUCCCUCUUACAAAAAAGACCUGCAAAAACAAGCAAAUCGAUUACAUAUGGCAAUGUAGGAGCCCUGAACGUCAAAGACAAAGUCGAGGAAUUGGACCGAGUGGCAGAGGGAGGAAGAGACAGUUCAGAAGCAGUGAGAAGUUGCCAGGCCUGACCUGGCCAGCACUGGCACCCUGCAGGCUAGAUUGGCUGGUGCAUGUGGUGAGGAAAGUGGUGGUUUUGGGACCAGUUCUCCACCUUGGGAGAGACCAAUUGGUGGAGAAUGUGCUCAAGUCUCCAGAACCAGUGAGAAAUGCUGCUCAGUCAGCGAAAGAUAAGUACAAGCAUCUAACCUACCAUAUGGAUGAAAAUAGAAACAAAAACAAAACCCUUUUUAUCUGCGUUUUCCUUGCUCUGCUCUGGGUCCUGGUCAGGCUUUAGAAAGUGCUGUGCUCCCUGGGCAGGAAGUAGGACCCAUCAUGUGUCCUGAGCCAUUCUCCUCACUUUGGAGAGGGAACAAAUUAAUAAAUGGGAAAAAAAUAAUCUGCCAGUUCCUCUACUCUGGGAAUACAGGGCAGGCAGAGGCUCCCUGCCUAGGCACAGGCAUUAGGGGUCCAUGGACUUUGUAGGCCUUUCACCCCUGCUUAGACCUGUGUUAGCCCAUUUCAACAGAGUAGGCCCUCAUUAGCACAGUAUAAUAGGGUUUAUACCUGAAGCCUAUUUUCAUGUGUAUCUGCUAUAAGGUGGAGUGGUAGAUUUGUGACAGUUGACUCUGCCCUGCCCAUUUAGCAGGGUCCUCACCUACCCACAUCAGGGGCCUGCGGACUGGUAGCUCCACCCAUUCCACUGAGCGACCUGCAACAGGGGUCCAAGAAUAAGUGGUGACUCCCAGCCAUUACACCCAACAGCAUUGGGUGCCCAUAAUCUGGCUGCAAAAUCCACCUACCUAUGUGCUCUUGGGAGCAGGGACAUGCCUUCUAGAUAGACAUUCAGGGACAGCAGUCAGCCCCUAGCCUUGAUCAGUGCAUGACCCUCUACUGCAGCCAAAUACCUGUGCCUACUCCAAUCAUCCCUCCCAUCUAGGACUGUAAGUGAGAGCCUACACCUCACACUUGGUGACCAAUGACCUGGACACCUGAUCAGAAUCCUCACAAGAAAAGGAAAUGGACUCCUGGACUCACAUACCUAGUAAGAGUUCUAGCAGCCUGGAGACAGAAUGUGAGAGUUUCAAAGGCAUGAAUAACCAAAUUAGUUCACGCCACCACCCUAUUUGGGCAUAUAAAAACAAAACAAGAAGCAGGGACACAGUAAGCAAACAAUAAAUGAAUAAAUAAAAUAAAUUAUUGAUGGCUCAGAGGCAACAGUCAAUAUCAAAUCACAUAAAGAGGCAGAGACCAUGAUGGCUUCAUCGAGCCACCAAAACAAAGAGUCAAGAAACCUUCCUGAGGAAAAUAAUGUCUUGGACUUACCAGAGGUAGAAUUCAAAAGACUAAUAUACAGAACUCUUCAAGAGACCAGGAAGGAGAUCAGGCAAAACAGAGACCACACCAAGGAACACACAGACAAAACAAUAGAGGAACUUAACAGGCUUAUACAACAGCAUUAUGACAAAUUUAAAAGGCUGCAAGAAUCUGUAGAGAGACAGCAAACAGAAAUCGAAAAGAUUAACAAUAAAAUUUCAGAGUUAGACAACUCAGUAGAAUGUCAUAGGAACAGAAUUGAAGCAAUGGAAGUCAGAAUUGGUGAUACUGAAGAUGAAGCACUUGACACCAACUUAUUUGAGGAAAGUCAGAUAAAAGAAUUAAAAAAAAUGAAAAAACCCUAAGAAUUAUGUGGGACUCUAUCAAGAAGGAUAACCUGCAAGUGAUUGGAGUACCAGAACAGUGGGGGCAUAAGAAAAAAUGCAGAGAGAAUUGUUGAAGAUUUGUUGGCAGAAAACUUCCCUGAAACCGCAGCAGAUGAGAAGCUAUCUCUCCAAGUUGUUCAUUGAACCCCACACAAGGUAGAUCCCAAAAGAAAAUCACUGAGACAUAGUCAAACUUGCCAAAACCAAAGAUAAAGAGAGAAUAUUAAAAGUGGCUAUACAUUAAUGAAAAGUCAUUUACAAAGGAGAGUCAACAAAACUAAGCUCAGACUACUCAGCAGAAACCAUGGAGGUAAGAAGGCACUGGGAUGACAUAUAUAAAGCAUUGAAGGAAAAACAUUGCCAGCCAAGAAGUAUAUAAUCAGCAAAACUGUCUCUGAAAUAUAAUGGCGAAAUUAGGGCAUUUCCAGAUAAACAGAAGUUUAGGGAAUUUGCAAAAACCAAACCAAAAUUGUGAGAAAUACUAAAGGGAGUCCUUCAGUUAGAAAGUCAAAAACAUCAGAUAACAACCCAAGACUCGAAUACAGAAGAGAUAUCACACAGAUAUUGACCCAGAUAGGGACAUCACAAAAAUAAAUCAAAGGUAAAACACUGAAAAUAGGGAAGAAGAAACAUCAAUAGUAAAAGAUGACAACAUUAAAACAAAAAAGAGGAACUAAAAAAUGUAGUCAGAAAUCUUCCAUAUGGAGAGGAUGUCAAGGCAGUAUAAAGAAAUAAACGAUUUGUUUCAACUUAGAAAAAUAGGGAUAGAUAUUAAGGUAACCACAAAGGAAACUAACAAUCCUACAUAUCAAAAAAAAAAAAAAACCCACAAAGACUCAGCAAAUACAAAAUCAACAACAAUGAAAAAGAAAAUAACGUAAAGAAAAACAACACAGCAUAGAAAAUUAAGUGUAACAGAGAAACUCUCCACGGUACGCACACACACACACACACAGACACACACACAAAUACAUCAAAAUGACAGCACUAAACUCAUACCUGUCACUAAUUACACUGAAUGUAAAUGGACUAAAUGCACCAAUAAAGGGACAGAGAGUGGCAGAAUGGAUGAAAAAAAAAGAUCAGUCUAUUUGCUGCCUACAAGAGACACACCUUAGACUUAAAGAUACAAAUAAACUAAAACUCAAAGGAGGGAAAAAAAUAUACCAAGCAAACAACAAUCAACAAAGAGCAGGAGUGGCAAUAUUAAUCUCUGACAAAAUAGACUUUAAAGCAAAAUCCAGCACAAAGGAUAAGGAAGUACACUAUAUAAUGAUUAAUGGGUCAAUACACGAGGAUAACAUAACCAUAAUAAGUAUAUACACACCCAAUGACGGGGCUCCAGAAUACAUAUACUCUAACAGCAUUGAAAAGAGAAAUAGACAGCUCCGCGAUAGUAGUAGGAGACUUCAGCCCAUCAUUUUCGGUGAAGGACAGAAGAUCCAGAAAGAGGAUCUAAAAAGACACAGAAGAUCUAAAUGCCACAAUCAACCAACUUGACCUCGUAGACAAACACAGAACACUCCACCCAACAGCAACCAAGCAUACUUUCUUUUCCAACGCACGUGGAACAGUCUCCAGAAUAGAUCACAUAUUGAACCCCAAAGCAAGCCUUAACAGAAUCCAAAACAUUGAAAUAUUACAAAGCAUCUUUUCUGACCAUAAAGCCAUAAAAGUAGAAACCAAUAACAGGGCCAGCAGCUCUCUCUGGAGGGUUAUGAUGAAAAGCUGAGACAUAGCCUGGCCAGAAGCCCAGGGUAGAUCAGUCACCCCUUUUCAUGGAUUGAAUUGUGUCCCCCCAAAAUGUGUGUCAAUUUGGCUAGUCCAUGAUUCUCAGUAUUGUGUGACCUUCAUUUUUCAUCUGAUGUGGUUUUCCUAUGUGUUGUAAAUCAUACCUCUAUGAUGUUAACGAGGUGGGAUUAGUGGCAGUUAUGUUAAUGAGACAGGGCUCAAUCUAAAAGAUUAGGUUGUGUCUUAAAUCAAUCUCUUUUGAGAUAUAAAAGAGAGAAGCAAGCAGAGAGACAGGGGGCCCUCAUACCACCAAGAAAGAAGAGCUAGGAAAAUAGCACACCCCUUGGACUUGGGGCCCCUGUGCUAAGAAGCUCCUAGAGCAGGGGAAGAUUGACGACAAAGGCCUUCCCCAGAGCUGACAGAGACAGAAAGCCUUCCCCUGGAGCUGGCACCCUGAAUUCAGACUUCUAGCUUCAUAGACUGAGAGAAUAAACCAUCCACUUGUGAAAUUUCUGUUAUAGCAGCACUAGAUAACAAAGACAUGCCUGUAUCAGUCAGGGUACAAUCAGAAGGCAAAAAAGCACACCAGGUUGUUUUUUCAAAGCAAGAAUUUAAUAUAAAUAAUUUCUAAUUAAACAAACAAAAAACUUGUUGCCUUCGAGUUGAUUCUGACUCAUAGUUGGGCCCCAUAGGGUAGAGUAGAACUGCCCUAUAGGGUUUCUGAGGAGUGCCUAGUGGAUUUGAACUGCCGAUCUUUUGGUUAGCAGCUAAACUGGUAACCACUAUGCCACCAGGGAUCCCAAAUUAGGCAACUGAAAAAGCAAACAAUUAUCUGGGAGUAGAAACUGCAGUAAGUAGCUACCACUUCUAGGGCUGGAGAAUAACAGGAAAAGGCUGAAAUUUAUUAAAACUUAGAAACUCAGGGAAGGGUCCUGGGGGCUGGGACCCAGACCUCUGAGGAGAGGGUACUGCUCAGCAAAUGCUGGUGUCUUUGAGGGGCUCCAUGAGGUGAGUUCAGUAGUGUUGCAGAAACUGCAGACUGAACCCAAUGCUUCUUACAGGACCAGGAAGCAAACAGGAAGGAGCAAGUGCCUGCCUUCCCCUCCAGCCUGCGGUAUUCCUCUAUCGCCCUCUAUUGGCAGACCCGAGUGGGGAGCCACUGCAAAGCAGAAAUUUGGUUGCCCUGUCCCAGCGCCAGCAUCACAAAGCUGACUAUGGAAGAGCAUGUUUGGAGUUGAGAGGCAACAACUUGGUAACUGGCACGUCUUUCCAAAGGGUACAUUUGGCAGGAGUCAUGGAGACGAGCUGCCUGUGACCUGACCAGCACAGGCCAACCCCAAGAAUAUAAGUCAAAGGGAGAAGAAGCAAGAAAAUAAUCUGGAGGCCCAGCAGUUACAGCUCUCCCCGUCAUCUGCCUCAUUUUCACGUGAGCUCUUCCCUGAAAUGAAGCUGCCGGGACACUGCUGGGCUUUCAGAACAAGAGCCCAUGGCUGAGUGACCUCAGCCCUCAGAGCAGACCCAGGUCUCUGGGAUACGAGGUCCAGCUGGCCAGGGAGGCAAAAUCAACCACUUUGGCUCCAACUAUCCAAUGAUCAGGCCAGCCUUAAAACUUCCUCUUGGAGAAGUUGGUGAUUGAUUGAUCGUGGUCCAGCAUGCAGAAGUGAGUGAGUGGUGAAAAGCAGCAGAGCUGAUGGAUUGUGAAGAUGUGUUUGAAGGCUGUCACAGUCUCUACUUCAGGGUUAUGCUCAGCUAUUGUUCUGACUGAGACUUCCAUGAACACUAGGAGUUGAAAAGAAAAGAAAAAAAAUGAAAGAAAACAGGAAAAAGAAGCAAAGAAAAGGUAAGCAAUGAGAGGAAAAGUCCUCCGUGGUCUUUGCAGAUUGGGUCUGUCCUGCAACACUCCUUCAAUACUUAGGAAGGUUUACGCUGACCUAGAGAUCAACCCCAAGU